UAAGAUUCUGUUUGUUUUUGGGAAUCGUACAGGCAUUCGGAAGUAGCACGACAGUGCGGAUUCCGAAUGAAUGAAGAAGUGCGAAAGCUGCCUCAGCGCAGCACUUCUUAUA
rnacentral:misc_RNA from 1 species